UUGCAUUAGUAUUUAUGUAUUUAUCAUGCGUUUCUUAUGGAAAUUUAAAUAAAAUUUGGGAAAUUUUUGAGUGCAUCUAGUGUAUUAGACAUUAGUGCACCUUGCAUUUACAAACACAUGGUAUCUGCUUGAAAACGUGGAAAGUGGAUUCCACAUAAAUUUGAGCAAUAAAGCACUAGAUAUAUUGAAUAAUCUCUCAUAUUUUUUAAUUUUUACUUGAUAAAUUAAAAGGAUUUUGUGUUUUAACUCUUAAUACGAUACAGAUACAUUAUGAAAGUAGAA
rnacentral:misc_RNA from 1 species